GACAGAGGGUGCAAGCGUUGUUCGGAAUCAUUGGGCGUAAAGCGCGCGUAGGCGGCUCUGUAAGUUGAAUGUGAAAUCCCUGGGCUUAACCCAGGAAGUGCAUUCAAAACUGUAGAGCUUGAGUCCCGGAGAGGGUGGUGGAAUUCCCAGUGUAGAGGUGAAAUUCGUAGAUAUUGGGAGGAACACCAGUGGCGAAGGCGACCACCUGGACGGAGACUGACGCUGAGGCGCGAAAGCGUGGGUAGCAAACAGG
rnacentral:rRNA from 1 species